ACUUGCUCAAUUAAACCCCAAAUACCUGCAAUCAAUAAAUAAGGAAUGACAACGCGUUUAAGGGAUUUACCCAGUAAAGGAAUUGAACUGGAAACAGAUUACACUCAAGAAGCCCUUUUUGUAAUUAAACAUACACCUCUCCCCAAUGGAAGAGGCAUGUAAAGGACAAGUCUUGGAAAAUCAAGAAGAAGAAGCCAGCUGGGAAGGAAGAAGAGCUCCUGUUUAUACAGAGAAAUCUGCCAUAACAACAACAACAGUAAAAUCAUUUGCAGUAAGAUUAUAAAAGGACCACUGCAAAGACUGGGACAGCUGGUCUACUGGAUGAAUACAGACACUUAUGAUUGUUUUGGAACACACUCAUCGUUCACCACAGAGGAACAGUUUUAAAGAUGUGAAUGUUUAUUUUAGGGUCUCGUCCUUGUGACGGGUUGUUCACAGCUGCCUCAGAGCUCCUUAGGAGUUGAGGGUGCUCACUGUCUUGCAAGAAAUAGUGCAUCUUCCUGCACGUGGGACCCUUUCUAUUAUAUUGAUCCAGACUGCAGCACAGAUGAUCAGGAAUGGUUUAAUAUAUAGAAGCCCAGCAGUGGGGUUAUGAAAACAAAGUUAACAAAAAUGCAAAGAAGAAAAGUGUUAGCAUUGCUGACUCAUUUGUUGUAAAAAAUUAAAGCAGAAUUGCAUACUUAAAUUCAUUUACAAAAAAAAAAAAUCAAUUGAGGAAACCACCUUGAUCAUCACACUCUUACUAGGAUUUUUUUGGAUACCUGCUAUUUAAAAGCAUUCAGAGAAAACACUUUUAUAAAGUAUUAUGCUCUUUUACAGUGCUCAGUGUGGCGGGUCUGAUCCACAGCUUAUUGAACUCAGUGGAAAUUUUCCUAUUGUCUUUUGUUGGCUUUGGAUCAGGGUCUUGGACUGUGUCGACACGACAAGCCCUGCAACUGUACAGCUACUGUACUGCAGCACAGACGCUUGCUACAGCAAUGGAAGGGAGUUUUCUGUCACUCGUAAAUCCAUUCCCUCAAGAGGUGGUGGCUAGGUUCUAGGAAGAAUUUUUCUAUCGAUUUAGUGGUGUCUACACCAGGGAUUAAGUUGGCUUAACUAGAUCUCUCGGGGGUGAGAAUUUUUCACACCCUGAGCGAUGUAACUGGGUUGACCUAAGUUUUAUGUGUAGACCAGGCCUUAGACAUUAGGGCAUGAUUCUUAAUUACCUCAUUCCCAGUGCUUGGGGCAGGAACAGAGGGAGCUCUGCAUUUGUGCUUCUCCUACUUUGGGCUCUUCUUAGGUUCAUGAGGUCUAUGGAAUACAUUAGAACUCUCUUAGCACUGCACUAAUGUAUGUUCUGCUUCUCAGGGCCACCUGUGAGGCAGAGAACAGCCAUAGAUCAGUGCGCUUGAUUGUGUUCAAUGUGAAGUUCUGCUUAAAAACUGAUAGCACAAUAUGGCCCCCUGGGUGAGUGUGGACAGAUGUGCAAAUACAUUUACUCUAAUAGUAUGAAUGCAUUUUUGGUCCUGAUCUAAAGACCAAAAAAUCAACUGGAAUCUAUAUGGGUCAGGCCAUAUAUGCCAUUUGGCUUUUUUUUGUGAUGAUUUAUUAUUGUAAUCACAAAGAAGGAACCAAAAGAAGUUGUUGCAGCCCAAUGCCAUGGUUUUCAGAUUAGAAAUACACCUCUGUUCCCCACUCGGAGUAUUUUUAGUUCACCUUAGAGGAAAAUCUCAAACUAAGCAAGUCUAAUUUUCACAGGAAGCAAGUGAUUCAUUUAAUAAGAUCUGACUAUUACUUAAAUUGUUUCAUGAAAUAUCUAUAUAAUUGUCCUGGUGUCAUUUUACUUGGCACCACAUAUGGGAAUAAUUGUGAAUGGCAUUGUUAUCCUGUACAAGGGUUUUUUAAGUCGUUACUGCAUACGAGACCUGAUUUUACUUGUGGUCUCAUGAGCAGUCAGUAGGUACGUUAAAUUAUUUGGU